rnacentral:snRNA from 1 species
AGCUUUGCGCAGUGGCAGUAUCGUAGCCAAUGAGGUUUGUCCGAGGCACGAUUAUUGCUAAUUGAAAACUUUUCGCAAAUAUUGGACCAUCUUCGCAGAUGGUCCCACUUGAUGGUG